UGACAAUCAUGAUCAGCCAAUUGAUUCCAAAUGCCAUAAUAAAUGAAAUAUAUGAGCAAAUGAUAUUUCUCAUAUAUUGCAAACUUAUUCAUAAAACCUAUAAAUCCAUAGGAUCUGUGCCUAACUUGUUGAAACCAGCAUUCUUUCAACUUCCAGUUGAACCCACUAUAGAUGUUGACCAGUCUGUGUUAGGCUCUAAAAGUGACUGCCACUGAAAAUGUAUCCCCUGUAUGAUUUUUGCAUCUUAAUUCAUACUAAUAUAAUCUAUAAACUAAUAAACUAAUUAAAUUUUUGUUAUUACUAGUAAGGAUGAUGCUGACUGCUUUAUAACAUAAGAGUUGCCAUAUAAACUGUAUUAUACAGUGGUACCUUGACUUACGAGUUUAAUUCGUUCCGUGACAGAGCUCGUAACUCGAAUCAAUUUUCC
rnacentral:lncRNA from 1 species